rnacentral:rRNA from 1 species
GAUCCGGGCUCAGGAUGAACGCUAGCUACAGGCUUAACACAUGCAAGUCGAGGGGCAGCAUUUUAGUUUGCUUGCAAACUGAAGAUGGCGACCGGCGCACGGGUGAGUAACACGUAUCCAACCUGCCGAUAACUCCGGAAUAGCCUUUCGAAAGAAAGAUUAAUACCGGAUAGUAUACGAAUAUCGCAUGAUAUUUUUAUUAAAGAAUUUCGGUUAUCGAUGGGGAUGCGUUCCAUUAGUUUGUUGGCGGGUAACGG